GACGAACGCUGGCGGCGUGCUUAACACAUGCAAGUCGAACGGAAAGGCCCUGCUUUUGUGGGGUGCUCGAGUGGCGAACGGGUGAGUAACACGUGAGUAACCUGCCCUUGACUUUGGGAUAACUUCAGGAAACUGGGGCUAAUACCGGAUAGGAGCUCCUGCUGCAUGGUGGGGGUUGGAAAGUUUCGGCGGUUGGGGAUGGACUCGCGGCUUAUCAGCUUGUUGGUGGGGUAGUGGCCUACCAAGGCUUUGACGGGUAGCCGGCCUGAGAGGGUGACCGGCCACAUUGGGACUGAGGUACGGCCCAGGCGCCUACGGGAGGCAGCAGUGGGGAAUAUUGCACAAUGGGCGGCAGCCUGAUGCAGCAACGCCGCGUGCUGGAUGACGGCCUUCGGGUUGUAAACCGCUUUCGCCUGUGACGAAGCGUGAGUGACGGUAAUGGGUAAAGAAGCACCGGCUAACUACGUG
rnacentral:rRNA from 1 species